rnacentral:lncRNA from 1 species
GAAAUAACAAUCUCAAAGAUUAAUUGAACUAAGUGAUGGAAGUUCUCUCUUAUCGGGUGGUAUCCCAGGGGCAUAAGCCUAGCAUGGGUCGAUCCCUAUUUAUGUGUUUAUGGGUGGUAUCCCAGGGGCAUAAGCCUAGCAUGGGUCGAUCCCAGUUGAUAUGUACUGGAGGCAGCCUAAUGGUCACAGUACAGUACAGUAAUGAUUACAAAGACGAUAAGAACGAAGGUAAAGUGAUUGAAUAAAUACAAUGUACAGGUUGUCACAAGUUCUAGUAAGUGUGGUCCACUCCUAUUAUGACUUAUUCACUUGUUUCUGAUUUCUAUUGAGCUCCUAUAUCAUAUGUGAUUAUUUACAGUUUUACAUACUCAG